GAGCGGCAACGGCGGCGCGGAAGCGAAACGUGCGGGGAACUGGGAGCGACUGGGAACGGUGCCCCCAUGGAUGUGGGGGAGGGGCCCCCCGUGCCCCCCCCGCGGGCGGUGCCGUGGUGGGGGGAGGGGCGGGGGCGGGGCCUGCCGGUGUGGGCGGGGUGGGCGGCGCCCCUGCUGCGGCCCCGGGAGACCCCGCGGCUGCUGCGGGCCCUGCCGCCCCUCCCCCCGCACCUGCCCCGCCUCAAACGGCUCCGGGCGGGGCCCGGGGGGGCGGAGCUUCUGCUGGGGCUGAGCCCCGCCCACGCCCCCAUCGAUUACAUCAUCGCCGACGAUGACGUCACCGAUUACGUCACCGAUUACGUCACGCGCCACCGAGCUGGAAACCAAAUACAACCAGUGACACCAGUAACACCAGUAACACCAGUGCCAACAGUAACACCAGUAACACCAGUGACACCAUGCCACCAGUACCAAUGCACACCAGUGACACCAGUAAGACUUGUGGUACCAAGGACACCGAUGCCACCAGUGCCACCAGUGCCACCAGUUUGCCCAGUUCCUCAGGUGACUCUGAUGUCCCCAGUGUCCCCAGUAUGACCAGUGCCACCAGUUUGCCCAGUUCCAGUGAUGGUUCUGGUGCCACCGGUGCCACUGGUGAUUCUGGUGUCCCCAGUGCUCCCAGUUCCCUGCUGGGCACUGAGGCCGUGUCCCCUGUCCGUCUGUCCAGCCCUGUCCCUCUGUCUGACCCGGCUCUGGGUGCCCCAUUCCCCGUCCGUGUGCCCGGCCGUGUCCCUCUGUCCGGCGCCGAGGCCGUGUCCCCUGUCCCUCUAUCCGACCCUGUCCCUCUGUCCGCGGCCGUGUCCCCUGUCCCUCUGUCCGACCCGGCCCUGGGCUGUCCGUUCCCCGUCCGUGUGCCCGGCCGUGUCCCGCGCGCCGGGGCGCGGCAGCAGCGCGGCGGCCCGGCUGUGGUUGCAGUGGCCGCGCUGCGGCGCUGUCGCUACCGCCCUCGCUGUCCCCAGGGCAGGUGACAGCGGCGCUGGUGGCGCUGGCGUGGCGCUGGCGGCGGGGCCGGGGCGGGCGGGCGGGGCGGCGGGCGCUGGACCCCCGGAGCGGGCGGGUGCUGGCCGUGGGCUGGGACAGGACAGGGGACACUGGGGACACCACUGGGGACAUUGGGGACGGGUGGCACCCGCUGCGGCACGCCGCCAUGGACUGCAUCGCCCGCGUGGCACGGGCGCC
rnacentral:lncRNA from 14 species